AUUAGAUGAGCUGUGGGGGCGGCAGCGGCAGCCUCCUACCCUCCUCACCUUCCUGCGCUGGCUGCAGCCAAGAGUUCUUUUGACAGCCUUGAGCUUUCCCGGGCAGGAACUUCCUGGGGCUGCAGUCAGCCUAGAAACAUGGCUUUGGGCUGUGGAAACGCUGCUACUGUGGAAGUCUCUUAUCGCGGGGUGGACGCGGUCGCUACGCGCCCAGCCUUCUUCUGUGGUUCUCACAGCCCGCCCCCACUUCCAUCUCGGGGACCUUUGCGGGGAGGCCUCAGGCACGUCCUUGACCUCAGUUGCCACGUGCACAUGCUGGUGCCUUCCAGGUCGGUCUUUCUCCACCAGUGUCCACCUGGAACUUUCUUCCUUUUCGUCCUUUGCUGGCCUAACCCCUACUCGGCCUCGGCCCUCAGCUGCCGGCUCUAAAAUGCCUCUGUCCUUCCCAGACCCCCAUGACCAGGCUGGAGUAUAGUGGCAUGAUCAUAGAUCACUGCAGCCUCAAACUCCUGGGCUCAAGCAAUCCUCCCACCUCAGCCUCCAUAUAGCUGGUGGGGAUCAAGUUUCUAACACAUGAAUCUUGGGAGACACAUUCAGACCAUCACAGUGGCCUUAUAAAAAGAGACACAAGGGCUUGCUCUCUGCCAUGUGAGUAUACCACAAGAAGACUGUCCUCAGCAAAUCAGAGAGCAGGUGGACCCUCAUCAGACACCAGAUGUGCCUGCACCUUUAUCUUGGACUUGCCAGCCUUCAGAACAGUAAGAAAGAAAUGUGUGUUGUUUAAGCCGCCCAGUCUAUGGAAACUUGUUAUAGCACCCCACUAAGAGACCCCAAGAUAUUUAAAAACUCAUCAGCACCUGCCUUCUGCAUCUGGAUCCUGAUCUUCUGGCGGGUUUACCAGUUACUUGCAGAGUGUCCCUGUGAUAGUUUUAGGUGUCAACUUGACAGGACUGAGGGAUGCCUAGAUGGCUGGGGAAGCACUGUUUCUGAGAAGGACCAUGUUUUUGGAAGAGACUGUUUUAUGGGUGAAUUUCAGGGGACACAUUCAUCAUGGCAGUGGCAGUAUAAAGAGAGACACAAAAGCGUGUUCUCUCUCUCUGCCAUGUGAGACUACCACACAAAGACUGCCAUCUGCAAACCAGAAGCAGGUGGGCUCUCCUCAGACACCAGAUCUGCCUGCACCUUGAUCUUGGCCUUGCCAGCCUUCAGAACUCUAAGAAAGAAAUGGUAGCAUGGCUUGGUCUAAGUUGGAAGGCCUGAGAAACAAGGAAGCAUAUGGUGGAACUGAGUUCAAGGAUAAAGACUUGAGAAUACCUACUCAGUGGACUGAGUAGGGAAGAUCAACCCUCAAUGUAGGCAGGCACUAUCCAAUCACCUGAGGGCCCAGAUGGAACAAAAAGGUGGAAGAAGGGUGAAUUCUCUCUUCCAGAGCUGUGACACCCUUCUCCUCAUGCCCUUGUACCACACAACUCUAGGUCCUUUGGCCUUUGGACUCUGACACUUGCACCAGUGGCCCUCUGGGGCUCUCAAGCCUUUAGCCUUGAACUGAGUUACACCAUGUGCUUCCUUGUUUCUCAGGCCUUCCAACUUGGAUCAGGGCAUGCCACCAGCUUCUCUGAUUCUCCAGCUUGCAGAUGGCAUAUUGUGACCCUGACAUUUAAUAACUACGACUUUGGUCUUAAGCAAUUUUCUUCCUCUGUGGAUUGAUAUUUGGAUAUCAAUGUGGAUAAUAAUUUCUCACCAAGGUAACUGUUGUGAGGUAAAAAUGAGUUAACAUAAGUAAAACCUAGCACAUGCAAACCAUCCGAAAUGGUUAAUACUUACUAUUAGUACUUGAAGAAAUAAAUGUUUUUGACAAUAAACUUCCUGUGCAGUUUUCCUCA
rnacentral:lncRNA from 1 species